rnacentral:sRNA from 1 species
GCCGCGCGUGGUGGCGCACACCUGUAAUCCCAGCACCUCUGGAGGCUGAGACAGGAGGAUUGUAAGUUCAAAGGCAGCCUCAGCAACAGUGAGGCACUAAGCAACUCAGUGAGAACCUGUCUCUA